ACGGCGAGUGAAGCGGCAAAAGCUCAAAUUUUAAAGCUGGCAUCUUCGGUGUCCGCGUUGUAAUUUUGUGAGGCAUCUCCGGGUAGGGCGCCGGCCUAAGUUCCUUGGAACAGGACGUCACAGAGGGUGAGAAUCCCGUGCUUGGCUGGCUGUCCCCGUCCAUGUGAGGUGUCUUCGACGAGUCGAGUUGUUUGGGAAUGCAGCUCAAAAUGGGUGGUAAAUUUCAUCUAAAGCUAAAUAUUGGUGGGAGACCGAUAGCGCACAAGUAGAGUGAUCGAAAGAUGAAAAGCACUUUGAAAAUAGAGUUAAAAAGUACGUGAAAUUGUUGAAAGGGAAGCGCUUGAGACCAGACUUCGGUAGGGGGUGAUCAGCCGUCCUUCUGGGCGGUGCACUUGCCCCCCUCCGGGCCAGCAUCGGUUGAGGCGGCGGGAUAAAGGUCCCGGGAAUGUGACUCCUCUCAAGGGAGUGUUUAUAGCCCGGGUGAAUGCCGCCAGCUUCGACCGAGGACCGCGCCCGCAAGGGUUAGGAUGCUUG
rnacentral:rRNA from 1 species